rnacentral:rRNA from 1 species
UAACGAAUCUUCCCCAAUGCACGAAAGUGUGAGGGAGCGACGCCGCGUGGAGGACGAAGUCCUUCGGGAUGUAAACUCCUGUCAGGGGUUACCAAGUUCUGAGGAACCCCAGAGGAAGAGGCGGCUAACUCUGUGCCAGCAGCCGCGGUAAGACAGAGGCCUCAAGCGUUAGGCGGAAUCACUGGGCUUAAAGCGUGUGUAGGCGGGUCGUUAAGUACCUUGUGAAAUCCCACCGCUCAACGGUGGAACGGCUGGGUAUACUGGCGACCUUGGGCCACUCAGGGGCAACUGGAACAAGCGGUGGAGCGGUGAAAUGCGUAGAUAUCGCUUGGAACGCCGAAGGUGAAGACAGGUUGCUGGGGGUGUGCCGACGCUGAGACACGAAAGCCAGGGGAGCAAACG